GAUAUGUGGGGUUUAUCUGCCCUCAAAUAGGAUAUGUUGGGUUCAUCCGCCCUCAAAUAGGAUAUGUUGGGUUCAUCCGCCCUCAAAUAGGAUAUGUUGGGUUCAUCCGCCCUCAAAUAGGAUAUGUUGGGUCCAUCCGCCCUCAAAUAGGAUAUGUUGGGUUCAUCCGCCCUCAAAUAGGAUAUGUCAGGUUCAUCCGCCCUUAAAUAGGAUAUGUCAGGUUCAUCCGCCCUCAAAUAGGAUAUGUUGGGUUCAUCCGCCCUCUAAUAGGAUUUUAUUUUCAAAGUUGUUGUUGAAAACAGGCGCCCACCUGUAUAACGAGAGGAAUACUUUUCAGUCUCACAUUUCAUGUCUUAGGUCGCCCACCUGUAUAACGAGGGUAUACAUUUCUGUUUCAUUUCAUGUCCUUGGUCGCCCGCCAGUAUAAUGAGGGUAUACAUUUCUAUUUUCAUUUAAUGUCCUAGGUCGCCCACCAGUAUAAUGAGGGUAUACAUUUCUGUUUACAUUUCAUGUCCUAGGUCGCCCACCAGUAUAAUGAGGGUAU
rnacentral:lncRNA from 1 species